UUUCACCGUGAUUCAAAUCUGCGAAGGUCAACCCUCUAAAACCCCCCACGGGAAAGCCGAAGGAAAUUGAUUUUGUCUAUCUUUUUUAACAUUUAAUGUCUAGAUGACGAUUUCAACGUCCAAUACGUCUGACUUGCGAUUCCAACGUUCAUUACGUCCGACUGACGAUUCAAAUUUCGACUCGGGGGGUAUAUAUAAUUAAUAAUUUGUAAAUUAGAUAUAAAAUUUUACUGACUAAGUGUCUAUCAUGUAUCUAUCAUCUAUCAAUAUAUUGAUAACUUAAGCAAAAUAAAUAGUCAUGAAACGUAUCAUGAUAUACCCGGCCAAGCAGACAAGACAAGGAGUGCCGUCGGCGCAUGUCAAUACAUGUAGAAAGAUACUAACACCAUAAGAGAAAAGGAAAAAUAUUAUUUUAUACGCAUAUACAUGGAGAAUAUAUAAAGGCAGAUGGUCAGGGCAAAUGAGCGUGUGGCGGAACAGAGGAAGUGGUAGAGAUAGGACGAUUGAACAAGUUGAAGAAUCGGGACUUAAAAGGGAUACACCAAGAGAUGAUAACAAACGGAAGAAAAAUCCAUUGCGGAGAUUGUUUGAGAACAAAAGAGUUCGGUACCAAUGAAGAACAGUUUAAAAUUCGAGCAAAUCGUUCCCUGGCAAUUUAGAAUCACAGUGGAAACACGGUGGGUUUGUUCCAUUUUACCACUGUGAUUACGCGGUGUAUCCACCGUAAUUCCACGGUGGCUUUGCUACCGUGUAUACACGGUGUUUCCACUGUGAUUACGCGGUGGAUACACCGUGGGACCACGGUGGUGAAAUGGCACAAAGCCACCGUGAAAUCACGGUGAAUACA